AUACGGAGGAUCCGAGCGUUAUCCGGAUUUAUUGGGUUUAAAGGGUGCGCAGGCGGGAGAUUAAGUCGGCGGUGAAAUUUUGCAGCUCAACUGUAAAAGUGCCUUCGAUACUGGUUUCCUUGGGUGUGGAUGAAGUAGGCGGAAUUUGUGGUGUAGCGGUGAAAUGCUUAGAUAUCACGAGGAACUCCGAUUGCGCAGGCAGCUUACUAAACCACUACUGACGCUCAGGCACGAAGGCGUGGGGAUCAAACAGGAUUAGAUACCCUGGUAGUCCACGCAGUAAACGAUGAUUACUGGCUGUUUGCGAUACAAUGUAAGCGGCUGAGCGAAAGCGUUAAGUAAUCCACCUGGGGAGUACGUUCGCAAGAAUGAAACUCAAAUGAAUUGACGGGG
rnacentral:rRNA from 1 species